GAGUUUGAUCCUGGCUCAGAACGAACGCUGGCGGCGUGCUUAACACAUGCAAGUCGAACGUGAUCCGGAGCUUGCUCCGGUGAAAGUGGCGCACGGGUGAGUAACGCGUGGAUAAUCUGCCCUGGUAUCUGGGAUAACAUCUCGAAAGGGGUGCUAAUACCGGAUAAGCCUACGGACUCCUCGGAGUCUGCAGGAAAAGGUGGCCUCUAUUUAUAAGCUACCGUAUCAGGAUGAGUCCGCGUACCAUUAGCUAGUUGGUGGGGUAAUGGCCCACCAAGGCUACGAUGGUUAGCUGGUCUGAGAGGAUGAUCAGCCACACUGGAACUGAGACACGGUCCAGACUCCUACGGGAGGCAGCAGUGGGGAAUUCUGCGCAAUGGGGGAAACCCUGACGCAGCAACGCCGCGUGAGUGAUGAAGGCUUUCGGGUCGUAAAGCUCUGUCAGAGGGGAAGAAAUGAGACUGGCUAAUAUCCAGUUUUCUUGACGGUACCCUCAAAGGAAGCACCGGCUAACUCCGUGCCAGCAGCCGCGGUAAUAC
rnacentral:rRNA from 1 species